rnacentral:rRNA from 1 species
GACGGAGGGUGCAAGCGUUGUUCGGAAUCACUGGGCGUAAAGCGCGUGUAGGCGGUCCGAUAAGUCGAGUGUGAAAGCCCGGGGCUCAACCUCGGAAGUGCACUCGAAACUGCUGGGCUUGAGUACGGGAGAGGGAAGCGGAAUUCCUGGUGUAGAGGUGAAAUUCGUAGAUAUCAGGAGGAACACCGGUGGCGAAGGCGGCUUCCUGGACCGAUACUGACGCUGAGACGCGAAAGCGUGGGGAGCAAACAGG